AUGACAGUGCUGCUGCCGCUGGUAGCUAACAGGCCCGUGGCCAGGAUUUUCGAGGUGUCCUCGGAAUGUCCCCACGGACGGCCGCCUUCCUUCCAGGCGGGCCCACUCCCCGCCCCAUCCCCCCCGCAUCCCGCCUUAGCCCCGAGCAGGCCCCCCCCCUCCUCCUCGCACCCGGCCCAGCCCCGUCCCUGCGGGGGUCCCUGUACCCACCAUUACACUGCGCCUCACUCGGCCGCGCCCCCCGGCCCUGCGCCCCCUCGGGACGGGCAGUCCGCGGGCGGCGCGGGCCACGUGCUGGGGUCUGUGCCGUCACUCAUUGUGCUGCAGCCAAUGGGCGGCGCCGGCGCCAGGCCGCCGCCCCGAGGUGCGCACCCCCACGCCCAGAGGGGCGCAGCAGCCGGGGGCCCAGGCACCGCCGGGGGAGGGAGCGCUGCGGCUAACGUCGGCUCCAGCGACCGCCAGAGGCCGGCGAGCACAUGGGGUGCGCGCGCAGUCGUCGACGGAGCAGCCCCCCCGCGGGCGCGACAGCCGAGCGGCGCUGCCCCCCCGCACUCCGAGACCGCGGGCCCAGGGGCGCUGGCCGCGAAUUCGGCACCGCGGGGCACACGCCCCAAGGCCUGCCUUACCCGGACGGGAGGACAAGCGGGGACGCCCAGCACUCAAGGCUGACGCUCAGAGGCACUCGGAGCUCCCCGAUCCUCAGCUCCCAGCGAGGCCAACCGUGGGUCCCAAUUCCGGGCUGCAGGGCCGCGCUCCUCCACGCCGGCCUCCCUUGCACGUGGGAAACGCAGAGAGCCUGGGAAUUCCACUGACGCUGGCAUCUGUGAGCCGCACAAUGAAACCCCGUGUCUGAUUUCCUGCCCUGAGCCCUUGAGGGAGAGGGAGUAAGAGGAUUUGGGGGGCUGCGGAGCAGGGACGCUGCUGGUUCUACUGUGAGCCAAGCGGACAGGGAAGGACCCUGAGCUCGUCCCGCCUCGCCGCGCUGUCGGGGCGCCCCGGGCUCCUCGCACACCCCGACCUCGCAGCCGUAGUGAGCACCACGGGCAGGGGAGCACCCGCCCGCCCCCGGCUCCCCGCGCCGGGGGGCCUGGAGCCUGCCGCCUGGGGGGUCCCUGCCGCCCGCCCGGGAGUCUCACCCCCCCAAGGGCAAGGGCGGAGCCGCCCCCAGGAUCCAUCCCGGCGGUCCGGCUCGGGGCCCACGCCGGUUCAGUCCCCAAUCAGGCGGCAGGAGUCAGCAUUCUAGAAACAGUCCCUCCGCGGAGGGAACUGCAGGCGAGCAGCAGGGUCCUCGGCCUGACGGCGGGGACUGCGGGGACGGGCGGCCCGGAGCCCCCCGGAGCCCCGGGGCUGUGGGAGGAACCUGAGGCCCAGGGCGAGGGCAGGAGGGGGGGGCUGGCCUCCGAAGCGAGGGCCCUGGACUCGUGGGGGGACUGCUGUCGCCCGCGGGGAAGGAGGAAGCCACAUGACCCUCCAAGGGGGGACCCCGCGCAGGAGGGGGCUGCUGAGGCCCCGGCUUCCCGCCGCUGGGCUGGCCUGGGCGCCCCACCUCUGCUGUUACCCCCGCCCCCCGCUGCCAUUCCUGCUGCAAUGACUGUGGUUCUUAGGCCUCGUGUGCUUUCCCCACACCUGCCUGGACGCUCCCCUGUGUUUGAAGGAAGCCCCGCACCCAGCCUGGGGCUGGGACGCCCCACCCCGACACCCAGGGGUGCGGCCCUGGCGACCGGCCGCCCAGCUGCGCCUGGCCUGGGCCCCUCGGAUGUCGGCUCUUCCCGUGACGCCUUGCCCUGGGUCCUCGGGUCCGUGUAGCUCAGGGGCUGGUGGCCACGUGCGGAGCGAGUGGCUUUCUACCCCAGUAGUGCAAACCGUGUGUAAAUACCUGUGAGCACCCUCCGUGAGCUCAGCAGGAUUCAAAGGUCAGUCCCUGAGGUGCAGCCCCCUACACACACGCGCACACACGCGCACACACGCUUAACCACGUGAGCAGGCCCUUCUCGGGCUCACCCUCCGCCCUCGGCUGCGUGCUGGCCCGAGGCCCCCCGGGGGUACUCGACUGGGCCCCCCUCUCAGGCCUCAGGAG
rnacentral:lncRNA from 1 species